UCAUCAACAAAAUACUGUGACAUUAGGUUACACCAGCUCGCCUGUACGUACAGGCCGGCACGCACACAUUCACACCCUGUUACACCACUUCGAGUGCAAACUUCACAUAGUUGACACAUUUAGGCGGCGAAAAAUAAAACAAAUAACGUCAUGUCUUGUGUGGUGAAAUGGUGUAAAAACCGUUCUGAUCGAACGAAUAAAAGUCAAGGAAUCACAUUUCACAGAUUUCCUAAUGAAAAUGAAAUAUGGAAAAAUGAUUGGAUUCAAAUAAUAAGAAAUUGUAACAACGACAACGAUUGGAUCCCAAGCAAACGUUGUGUCAUUUGCAGUUGUCACUUUGAAGAAAAUGACUUAUAUACGACUAAAGGAGGACGCCGGCGUAUUGUUACAUAUGCAUUGCC